AGUGAACGCUGGCGGUAGGCCUAACACAUGCAAGUCGAACGGCAGCACAGUAAGAGCUUGCUCUUACGGGUGGCGAGUGGCGGACGGGUGAGGAAUACAUCGGAAUCUACUUUUUCGUGGGGGAUAACGUAGGGAAACUUACGCUAAUACCGCAUACGACCUACGGGUGAAAGCAGGGGAUCUUCGGACCUUGCGCGAUUGAAUGAGCCGAUGUCGGAUUAGCUAGUUGGCGGGGUAAAGGCCCACCAAGGCGACGAUCCGUAGCUGGUCUGAGAGGAUGAUCAGCCACACUGGAACUGAGACACGGUCCAGACUCCUACGGGAGGCAGCAGUGGGGAAUAUUGGACAAUGGGCGCAAGCCUGAUCCAGCCAUACCGCGUGGGUGAAGGAGGCCUUCGGGUUGUAAAGCCCUUUUGUUGGGAAAGAAAAGCAGCAGGUUAAUACCCCGCUGUUCUGACGGUACCCAAAGAAUAAGCACCGGCUAACCUCGUG
rnacentral:rRNA from 1 species